rnacentral:rRNA from 1 species
CCCUUAGAUGUUCUGGGCUGCACGCGCGCUACACUGAUACUUUCACUCGCCACCACCUUGCCUGGGAGGGUGGGGUAACCUCUGGAAAGUGCAUCGUGAUGGGGAUCGAUUAUUGUAAUUAUUAAUCUUCAACGAGGAAUUCCUAGUAAGCAUGUGUCAUCAGCCCGUGCUGAUUACGUCCCUGCCCUUUGUACACACCGCCCGUCGCACCUACCGAUUGAAUGGUCCGGUGAACCCUCCGGAUCGGCUCGCGCCAACGCAAGUUGAGCAAAGGCCGAGAAGUUGGGUAAACCUUACCAUUUAGAGGAAGGUGAANUCGUANCA